rnacentral:lncRNA from 1 species
UUUCGCUCAUGACAAGCAAGUCUAAGGCGAUCUUCAAUUUGCUCCUUCACGGAAGCUCAAAAGUUGGAACCAAGCUUACAACUUACAAGAUCUGGUAAAGGGUACAGUGACCGCCUUCGUACGAUAUGAAAUGUUAGGCAUGUUUCAUUUCUGCAUAAAAGUUGCAGCAGUAUUGUAGUCACAUACUUAACCAUAAGCAAGGAACAAACUUCCUUGCAGAGUUAGUCGAUCCAUGUGCAGCUCAUAAGAGCAAAAGUGUUCCAAGAAAAAAAAAAAAGAACACUGUGAAAGCAAGAAACUAUCAUUGCAUUUCCAAAAAUCUAAACAAUUGAAGCAUGUUCUACAGCAAGAUACAGGAUCAUUCUCCUUGUCGACAAGUAUGAUCUUUUCUCUGCAAUGUGAGUAGGGAAGGCCUGCAACGUGUUUAGUCUCUUCAAUAUAUCAUAUUUGCAAUAGCUGCACAAAGGCAAUCAAGAGCUUGAAUCUCACACUGCAAAUCCCAUCACCAAAAUUUUUCUUUUGACCAGGAAAUUACAUUUGAAAGUUUCUUAUCCUCUAAUCAUGACUCUAUUAAAUUCCAAUUCAACACAUCAUCUUUUAGCUACUAAUUAGAAUCCACCACAGAAAAAGAGGAAGUAACAAAACUUUCAGCAGAUUAAUGUAAAAUUCCUCUAUUUCAAUAACAUUCUUUUCCAAAUUUCCCAAAAAAAUUUUGAGAAAAAACCAUAGAAAAUCUCUCCAUACAACCUGGAUAAGCAAGUAAGAGGAAACCUGCUGUGCAGUUAUAAAAGUACUCAAAAAAGGCCCAGUUUGUAUUUGAAACAGUGGUUGUAAAGCAUUGAAUCAUCUCUAAUGUCCUAAAUCUUUGACUUCUUUCUUGAAUCCAAACAAUAUCAAAAGUUCAUCAUCUUCUCUCUUCUAAGCUAACUACUAAGCUAAAAAGCUAAAAAUAAUAUGCAAACCUAGUUGGUUCAAUGAUUUUUUUUUCCCCCAAAUUUGCAAUAGCUUGAACUGAAUCUAUCAUAUUUCUUCAACAAUACAGAGGGUAUAUCAUUAUAAAGCCGAGCAGUCAUAAAAUAUACAAUAGCAGAUGGAUAUUGUUAUGUACUUUCCAAUCUUGCUAGCACAGAUGUUUUUUCUACUUUUGUUUUUCAACUCUUAAUACCAUAAGAAACAGAAGAGGAAAAAGAGAAUGCAGAGCUAUCCUAUGUGAUAGCUUAUCAUUGUUGAAGUUCAAUGAUCAACUAACUUCAAAAACUCCAGCAACAUUAUAACAACAGAAAAGCCAAAUGUGCCUAAUAACUCCGAAAUUGCUGUAAUUUAAAACAAUUAUAAAGCUGCGACUGAGCUCAUGUUGGUACUGAACUUGACUGGUAUAAGUUCACUUAAUUUUCAUAGAUAGCAAAUUGAUUCAGAAGUAUAGCAGCCGACUCUAAUGAAAUCAUAUGACCCUUUAACUAAUUGUUCUACUCAUGCAUGAAUCUUGGAAGCACAGCUCUCACAAAAGCCGCAAUGAUGAACUGAUAGUCACCAAUAAUUUUGCAAUCCUAUUAUUUAUAUUAAAAAAUAGAGUGAAUUUAAUAAUGGAAAAAUCAUACAAUUACACCACACCUUCCUAUGAAUUUUAAGCUUUAUCAACAUACCAAAGUAAAGUUGGGAAAUUAGCAAAAUAAUGCGUGAAAAGGUUCAGUAUUCAAUGCCAAGAGGGAGGAUUGGUACCAUGGCCGCAACCCACUUGCAUGCAAGUGAAGGAAACUAUUAAAUUUGUUCCAAUCUCAGAUCUACCAUCCGAGUUGCGCCUGCAUUAUAAAUUUUGCUAUAACAGAUUCCAUGAGAGGCGGUUUGGACAUAGAAUUUAAGUUGGAUUAGGAGGGUGAAAGGGAAGAAGGAAAUUUCUCAAAGGGAUAAGCUCAUCAAGAGGAUAGAAGGACAGAGUACCGGAUUAGUAAAGCACAUGAAGGAACAACAAAACUGGAGGUGGUGAAAGUAAGGGGUGGGCGCUUGACCGAGAAUGCAGAGAAGGUAAUCGGUGAGUCCAAAAAGAUGAGCAUUAGGCAGCUGCUGCCUCCAGGUACUGUAUCUGAAAAGUGGGGGAAAAAAACACGUGGCAUUCUCAGCCCAUGACAGCAAGAAUGAAACAGGAAUAUCAAAGCAAAUUUCUUUCU